GCUGCUGCUGCUCUCUGUGCUCAGUAUCCAGUCUCAAACUGCAACCCAGCAACCUGCUAAAUCGGUGAGCUCUGCUCCAUCUCUGCACUGCAGCCAUGGCCACCACAGAAGCAUUGUUUCCUGAUCAAAGUGACUUUGAUUAUGGUAAAAAAUUCACAAAAUGUGUAAAAGGCUCAUCCAACUCCAGCUCAUCUGGGAGCCAAAUCCCAAAG